UACGGAGGGUGCGAGCGUUAUCCGGAAUUACUGGGUUUAAAGGGUGCGUAGGCGGCUAUGUAAGUCAGGAGUGAAAGUUUGCGGCUCAACCGUAAAAUUGCUUUUGAUACUGCAUAGCUGGAAUUAGGAUGAGGUCAGCGGAAUGUGGCAUGUAGCGGUGAAAUGCAUAGAUAUGCCAUAGAACACCAAUUGCGAAGGCAGCUGGCUAGACCUGGAUUGACGCUGAGGCACGAAAGCGUGGGGAGCGAACAGG
rnacentral:rRNA from 1 species